rnacentral:tRNA from 1 species
GCCUGGGUGGCUCAGUUGGUUAAGCAUCUGACUUCAGUUCAGGUCAUGAUCUCACAGUUUGUGGGUUCGAGCCCUUCAUCAGGCU